AACGAACGCUGGCGGCAUGCCUAACACAUGCAAGUCGAACGAGACCUUCGGGUCUAGUGGCGCACGGGUGCGUAACGCGUGGGAACCUGCCCUUAGGUUCGGAAUAACUCCCCGAAAGGGGUGCUAAUACCGGAUAAUUUCUUCGGACCAAAGAUUUAUCGCCUUUGGAUGGGCCCGCGUUGGAUUAGCUUGUUGGUAGGGUAAAAGCCUACCAAGGCGACGAUCCAUAGCUGGUCUGAGAGGAUGAUCAGCCACACUGGGACUGAGACACGGCCCAGACUCCUACGGGAGGCAGCAGUGGGGAAUAUUGGACAAUGGGCGAAAGCCUGAUCCAGCAAGGCCGCGUGAGUGAUGAAGGCGUUAGGGUUGUAAAGCUCUUUUACCCGGGAUGAUAAUGACAGUACCGGGAGAAUAAGCACCGGCUAACUCCGUG
rnacentral:rRNA from 1 species